rnacentral:rRNA from 1 species
GACGAACGCUGGCGGCGUGCUUAACACAUGCAAGUCGAACGGAAAGGCCCUGCUUUUGUGGGGUGCUCGAGUGGCGAACGGGUGAGUAACACGUGAGUAACCUGCCCUUGACUUUGGGAUAACUUCAGGAAACUGGGGCUAAUACCGGAUAGGAGCUCCUGCUGCAUGGUGGGGGUGGGAAAGUUUCGGCGGUUGGGGAUGGACUCGCGGCUGAUCAGCUUGUUGGUGGGGUAGUGGCUUACCAAGGCUUUGACGGGUAGCCGGCCUGAGGGGGUGACCGGCCACAUUGGGACUGAGAUACGGCCCAGACUCCUACGGGAGGCAGCAGUGGGGAAUAUUGCACAAUGGGCGGAAGCCUGAUGCAGCAACGCCGCGUGCGGGAUGACGGCCUUCGGGUUGUAAACCGCUUUCGCCUGUGACGAAGCGUGAGUGACGGUAAUGGGUAAAGAAGCACCGGCUAACUACGUG